AUCACUUCUCGACCUUUUGGCUAAGAUCAAGUGUAGUAUCUGUUCUUAUCAGUUUAAUUUUUUUUUUUGAAUAUUAGGAAAAAAAUUUUUACAAAGAGUGUAAUCAGACAUUGGAAUGGGCUGGCUGGAGAGGUGGUGGAUUCACCAUCC